GGGAAUGUGGCUUAGUGGUAGAGUGCUUGCCUACAAUGCAUGAAGCCCUGGGUUUGAUUCCUCAUUACCA
rnacentral:tRNA from 1 species